GGCAUCUUGGUGGAGUGGUUAACCCGAGAGAUUAGGACCCAUUGGACCGGGUAUCUCUUCAGGUUUCCGGGCACAAGUUUGAAUCUUGUAGAUGUGG